rnacentral:rRNA from 1 species
AGAGUUUGAUCCUGGCUCAGGAUGAACGCUAGCGGCAGGCUUAACACAUGCAAGUCGAGGGGUAGCAUUGUGCUUGCACAGAUCACGACCGGCGCACGGGUGCGUAACGCGUAUAGAACUUACCUUUUACAGGGGGAUAGCCUUUAGAAAUGAAGAUUAAUAUCCCAUAGUAUUGAGAACUGGCAUCAGUUUUUAAUUAAAGAUUUAUCGGUAAAAGAUGGCUAUGCGUCCUAUUAGCUAGAUGGUAAGGUAACGGCUUACCAUGGCUACGAUAGGUAGGGGCCCUGAGAGGGGGAUCCCCCACACUGGUACUGAGACACGGACCAGACUCCUACGGGAGGCAGCAGUGAGGAAUAUUGGGCAAUGGAGGCAACUCUGACCCAGCCAUGCCGCGUGCAGGAAGACUGCCCUAUGGGUUGUAAACUGCUUUUAUACAGGAAGAAACACCGCUACGUGUAGCGGCUUGACGGUACUGUAAGAAUAAGGACCGGCUAACUCCGUGCCAGCAGCCGCGGUAAUACGGAGGGUCCAAGCGUUAUCCGGAAUCAUUGGGUUUAAAGGGUCCGCAGGCGGUCAAUUAAGUCAGAGGUGAAAUCCCAUAGCUUAACUAUGGAACUGCCUUUGAUACUGGUUGACUUGAGUCAUAUGGAAGUAGAUAGAAUGUGUAGUGUAGCGGUGAAAUGCAUAGAUAUUACACAGAAUACCGAUUGCGAAGGCAGUCUACUACGUAUGUACUGACGCUCAUGGACGAAAGCGUGGGGAGCGAACAGGAUUAGAUACCCUGGUAGUCCACGCCGUAAACGAUGGAUACUAGUUGUUGGGGUUUACCUCAGUGACUAAGCGAAAGUGAUAAGUAUCCCACCUGGGGAGUACGGUCGCAAGACUGAAACUCAAAGGAAUUGACGGGGGCCCGCACAAGCGGUGGAGCAUGUGGUUUAAUUCGAUGAUACGCGAGGAACCUUACCAGGGCUUAAAUGUAGUCUGACAGCUUUAGAGAUAGAGUUUUCUUCGGACAGAUUACAAGGUGCUGCAUGGUUGUCGUCAGCUCGUGCCGUGAGGUGUCAGGUUAAGUCCUAUAACGAGCGCAACCCUUGUCGUUAGUUGCCAGCAUGUAAAGAUGGGGACUCUAGCGAGACUGCCGGUGCAAACCGCGAGGAAGGUGGGGAUGACGUCAAAUCAUCACGGCCCUUACGUCCUGGGCCACACACGUGC